GAUGAACGCUGGCGGCGUGCUUAACACAUGCAAGUCGAACGGAAAGGCCCAAGCUUGCUUGGGUGCUCGAGUGGCGAACGGGUGAGUAACACGUGGGUGAUCUGCCCUGCACUUUGGGAUAAGCCUGGGAAACUGGGUCUAAUACCGGAUAGGACCAUCGUUUAGUGUCGGUGGUGGAAAGUUUUUCGGUGUGGGAUGAGCUAGCGGCCUAUCAGCUUGUUGGUGGGGUAAUGGCCUACCAAGGCGUCGACGGGUAGCCGGCCUGAGAGGGUGUACGGCCACAUUGGGACUGAGAUACGGCCCAGACUCCUACGGGAGGCAGCAGUGGGGAAUAUUGCACAAUGGGCGCAAGCCUGAUGCAGCGACGCCGCGUGGGGGAUGACGGCCUUCGGGUUGUAAACUCCUUUCGCCAAGGACGAAGCGUUUUGUGACGGUACUUGGAGAAGAAGCACCGGCUAACUACGUG
rnacentral:rRNA from 1 species